rnacentral:misc_RNA from 1 species
GGAUAAGCUAAUAGAGAAAACUUCUAGAGUUUGAGAAGAAGAAGAAGCAGAAAAUGGAGAAGUACUUUGGAAACGCAUACAGGGGUGACCCGGGAGUGCCACAUGCCGACCCGGAACGGUUCGUGAAUAUAUGGAUCGGGUCUGCUGCUUUCUCUGCACUGACAUGGAUCAAUCCCUACAUGUGGACUCUUUCCAAUCAAUACAACUGGCAUGACAAAGCCAUGCUUUUUGAGCAAUAUCACUGGAAGAAAGCUCUCAAGAAAAAUCAGGACUAUGAAUUCAAGUGGAACCAAUACAUGGAUAAAGAUACCCGAGACUCGUACUACUUCAAUUGGCCUGUUUACUUUCCAUAAGUUUCUCCAAUUUAUCAGCAUGCUUCUGUUUCCUUUUGAAAUUUCUGUUGAUACUAUGAAUCAAAACAUUUUUAGCCUCUGAAAAGUUUGGUGAUCUUCCAAGUGCUGCAUGAUUGCUUUUUCUAAUUGAUGGUAUUGCUCCAUCUGUUAUUUAGACUCAUACUGCUGUGUCCUUGAGUUCUACUUUAUCUUAAGAUGACAAAAAAGGCGAACGAUACAUGUCCACCGAUUCAGUGUGUU